GUUUCGUGUGACACUUUCUUCUUCCGUAUAGGUAGCUUCAUGGGAGCGCAUAUUCUUCUAAGGGUUUAUUUUUUGUGACCACUCUAUUUUGCGGCAAUAUACCGUGUAUUGAAAAGUACGUAGUGGCUCACCUCUCCGAAAAACUGCAUUAUGCAGCACUGUGAAGCAACGAUUUUAGAAGCAGUAACUUUUGGCCUAUAUCGAUAUAAAUGUUGGAGAGGUUGCUUAUUUGCGGUUAUGGCUUACUUUUUAUCAUUGCUUCUCUGAAUUCAGUUGGCUCACUGUGCGCUGGUAUGCGAUGUCCACAGCAAUACAUGCUUAGCUGCAUGCUCCAAUGCGGCAUACAAACGAGGCGUUGCGUUCCUAGAAGACAACGCUGCCGUGAUGCGUGGAUAACGCUGUGCCCUAAGCCUUCGUAUAAACUGUCGUGCAUUAGAACUCGAACGCCUACAACAUGUGACUGCCAAUGUACCCGCGCUUCCUGUCAUUGAAGCAGAUCUUCAAUCAUUCAGAAAAUAGAAGCCAUCAUAUAUUGCACCAAUGGCGCUGGAAGCGUCAAAUACAUGGCAUAUACAUCGCCUGAAGGUCUGCCAGCAACACCGAUUGAGGGCUGUGAAUAAAUAUUUUUCACCUGCCUGAA
rnacentral:lncRNA from 1 species